UGCAGGUGAACGAGGGCCGUAUCUGACGCUCAGAGAAUCUUGACUGGGAUGGUACGACUGAUAAACAUUGCCGAAGAACGUCCGUCUUUAAAAUAAGAGAGAAGAAGAUCUUGUAGCAAGAGAAGAAACCUAACUUUGCUCCAUCCAGUAUGACAGCCUUGUAAAAACCAGCCCUGGACAGGAAGUCUCUACCAGCUAAUGAUCAGCUUCAACAGAAGGCACAUCGAUAAGAGCUGUGCUGCUGUCUGCUUCCUACCUGGGAUGCUAUUCUGCUAUCAAAUACACUGCCUGUGAAGCCAGGGUUGCCCUUAGACUGGCUGUCUUGCUAUACAUGAGAUUACUGCAAGAUGCCACAGAUGUAAAGGAAUGACACCUGCGGACUCCUAUGUACUAGAACACUGAAGACGUUUCAAGUACUUCCACACUGCAGACAUUUUAAAAUGUGCCUUAACUGACAGAAGCCGAGAGUGCAAUGCAGUACCCCAAAAUCACUAAAUCAGCUAGCAAUCGGUAAGUUCUAUUACGUUGUACUUUUGUACAUAAACCAACCGGUUCUGAUCUUUUG